AYAARGAAUAAUUAGUGGCAGACGGGUGAGUAAUGCAUAGGAAUCUACCUAGUAGUAUGGGAUAGCCACUAGAAAUGGUGGGUAAUACUGUAUAAUCCCUGCGGGGGAAAGAUUUAUCGCUAUUAGAUGAGCCUAUGUUAGAUUAGCUAGUUGGUAGGGUAAAGGCCUACCAAGGCGAUGAUCUAUAGCUGGUCUGAGAGGAUGAUCAGCCACACUGGAACUGAGAUACGGUCCAGACUCCUACGGGAGGCAGCAGUGGGGAAUAUUGGACAAUGGGCGCAAGCCUGAUCCAGCUAUGCCGCGUGAGUGAGGAAGGCCUUAGGGUUGUAAAACUCUUUCAGUAGGGAAGAUAAUGACGGUACCUACAGAAGAAGUCCCGGCAAACUCCGUGCCAGCAGCCGCGGUAAUACGGAGGGGGCAAGCGUUGUUCGGAAUUAUUGGGCGUAAAGGGCAUGUAGGCGGUUCGGUAAGUUAAAGGUGAAAUGCCAGGGCUUAAC
rnacentral:rRNA from 1 species